rnacentral:rRNA from 1 species
CAGGCCUAACACAUGCAAGUCGAGCGCGACAAGUGCCUUCGGGUGCGAGUAGAGCGGCGGACGGGUGCGUAACGCGUAGGAAUCUGCCUGGUAGUGGGGGAUAACUCGGGGAAACUCGAGCUAAUACCGCAUACGCCCCAUGGGGGAAAGCCGGGGACCUUCGGGCCUGGCGCGAUUGGAUGAGCCCAUGUCGGAUUAGCUAGUUGGCGGGGUAACGGCCCACCAAGGCGACGAUCCGUAGCUGGUCUGAGAGGAUGAUCAGCCACACUGGAACUGAGACACGGUCCAGACUCCUACGGGAGGCAGCAGUAGGGAAUAUUGGACAAUGGGCGCAAGCCUGAUCCAGCCAUGCCGCGUGAGUUAAGAAGGCCUUCGGGUUGUAAAGCUCUUUUGUCCGGAAAGAAAGCUUCGGGUCAUACCCGGAGUCCUGACGGUACCGGAAGAAUAAGCACCGGCUAACUUCGUGCCAGCAGCCGCGGUAAU